AACACAAACAUUUGCAGAAUGAUGCUCUAUCACUGUGUGUCCAAGCCCCUACUGGCCUCAAGUGGUAAGAACUACCCAACUGCUGCUCAUCCUCAUUCUAAAAUGAUGAUCCUGGCUGUUGCCUAAUAAUUCAGUCUUUCCAGAUCCUAUCACAACUCCUGUGAGGCAAGCAGGACAGAGGUUAUCUCCAUUUUACAGGCAAGGAAACUGAGUCUUAACUGAGGGGUUUCAGAAAAGUGGCAGAGCUGGGACUUGAACCCAGGACUCAUGUCCCAAGUCCCAUACCCUUUCCAUAGCAUCAUGGUAGUAGGAAGCUGGGGGCUGUGCAUGGCAAAGUGAGCACUUAGGUCUUUAUGUUGCUGAUGGACUAGGUCAUUUGCCUUUUUCCAUCAGUAUCUGUUGCUUUGCCAGUAUUGUUUUUUGUGAACUGUCUGUCCAUCUGCAUUAUCAGAUUAUUUUUCAUAAGUAAUUGAAAUGGGACAUAGUAUAGUGUAGAGGAAUCAAAAGCGCAGACUUCUGUGUCAGACUUCUGGGUUCAAGUCCCAGCUCUACUACUCACUACCCAUGUGACCUUGGGCAAAUUAUUAUAUAUUAUAAAUACAGCACAUGGUAUUAUACUUUUAUAUCUUUAAAAUGGUGAUAUUACCUACCUCCUAGGGAUAUGGUAAGGAUUAAAUGAAAUAAUUUAUCUAAAAUGAAUAUAAAAUGCUUGGCACAACUUUGCCUAGUUCUAAGAGGGUGGAGAGUGGGAUGGGGUUGUUGAAUAGGGUCUAAAUUUUAAAAAGAUAUGUAAAAGCACAUUUUAAACUGAAAAGUGCUUGGAAAAUUUACUGUCUUUUUGAAAAACUAUGCCAUGCCAUCUUUCUCACUCUUAUAACCAUCUUCAUUGUAACAUUUGUGAAGCACUUUAUAGUUCAGAAAGCAUUUUUCCCUUAGAUCCUCCUGACAGCUCCCUGUGGUGUGAAAAGGAGCUAUCAUCUACACUUGCUGCAGGUGAGAUGACUGUCCCGGCAAUGGCCCAAGGCCCAUCCUCUCUCAAUGUGACUGUUUAUCCAUGUUACUCCAAGAGAAUCUAACAGUUAAGGGGAGAAAAAGCUGCACUGCUUGCUUCCAGAGCUAACUGUGUCCUCCCUGCUGUCCUCCCUGCUCUGGGCCACAGCGAACACUGGACAGUGAUAUUAAAACCUAGAGCAUGAGGAAGCCAGUGAGGAGAAGCUGGUGAGAGGCUCUGCCCUCAGAUGAGAGGAACUGGAAUUCACACAUGCUCCAUCUGCCUCUGCAAACUUCGGAUGACUCAGUGUCUACCCAGCGCCUGGUCAUCGGCAUUCCUGCCAAGUGGAUCUCAGGACAAAGAAAGGACAUGACUGCCUGAAGAGGGCCCAGACAUGCAGUGGGGCAGGUGCUGGCAUCUGAGAAAGUCCUAGGAGAGAACCUCCUCCAGUGUGUGAAGAGCUUCCCAAGCACCAGGUCCACUGACUGUGGCGUCAAAGACAGUGAAAAGCUGGCCUUGGGGUGAUGCCAUCCAGGAAGGCAUGCCAGAUCAGAUGCCCAGCUGACACUUCUGCCAGCCACCAGUCCCUGUCACUGUGCAUCUUUGCCAAGCUAAUGUGCUCCCUGGAGGAUGGGACCAGCACAGAGUCAGGUAGGGCCUGGGGCUGGGUGUGUGACCUGUGUGUAGUGAUGGAGACUAAUUCAAAGCAGGGUGGGAGUGAGACAGAAGUGUGGUACAAAUAGCAUGGAGAAUGGGCUCAAGGUGCAGGAAGGGGCAAGGAUGAAAGCUGAGUUACAGGCCAGCUCUGCCACUGACAAGCUGUGAUUUCCCUCACCCCAAAAUGACAGUAAUGACACUUCACCUCCCUGAAGGCAGGAGCCAGGUUAAAGGGGCAUGUUGGAGUGAUCUUAAAUGACAGCUGUGACUGUGACAGGAACCCCCUGUGUUUAUGAUUUGAGAUUUUAUGUAACUGCACUUGAAAUAUUCAUGUGUGUGGAUUUUGUAUAUGCAUGGGUAGUUGCAUGUUGUCUCCAGUGCAUGUACAUAAUCUGUGUCAUGUAUUACAUGUGUUCUAUAUGGGGGCAAGAACAGGUUACACGUUAUAUGUGAUAUACUAAUGUAUGAGUUACAUAUUGUACAGUUUGGGUGUUACAGUUUUUGGGUUUAUGGGCUACAUGUCAGUAUUAUGGCUGCUGUAUUGUUAUAAUUUAUCUGUUGUAUAUUGUAUUUAACUUGCAUAUGAACUCCAGACUCAUAUAUCCAGCUGCCUUCUCAAUAUCUCUACUUGGAUACCUAACCAGUUUUCUUAAACAUAACAUGUCCAAAACAGCCUAAGAUUCCUCCAAACCUGCUUCCCUCACCAUCUUUCCCAAGCCCAUACGUAGCAAUCUUAUUUUUUCAGUUGCUGUAACUUUUUUUUCCACAUUCCACAUUCAAUUCAUAAGCAAAUCCUGUUGGCUGGCCUUUGCACUAUAUCUGCAGUCUGUCCACUUUUCAUUAUUCCCACAGUAAUAAUGUGGGAAUAAGGGUUCAGCCACCAUCACCUCGCUUCUGGAUUAUUGCAAUGACCUCUUAAGUGGUUUCCCUGCCUUCUCCCUUGUCCUCUACAGUCUGUUCUCAAUACUGCAGUCAGAAUAAAAUGUCACACCAUGUCCCUUCCCUACUCAGAGCCCUCAAUGGUUUCCCCCCAGUUAGAGUGAAAUCCAGAGCUGGCUCUUACAAUGGUCUAGAAGGCCCUUUGGGCUGCCCCAAGCCACCUCUCUGGCUUCAUCUCUUCCUAGUUUCCUUGCUCCAACUGUACCAGCUUCCUUGCUAUUCCUUGAACAUACUAGGCAUGCUCCUGCAUUAGGGCUUUUGCGGUUUCUGUCUCUUCAGCCUGAAAUGCUUGUUCCUAUAGAUAAUUGCAUGGUAGCUUACUGUCUCACCUCCCUCACUCCCUUUUUAUUUAUUAUUAUUAUUAUUUUUUUUUUUAGAAAAGGUCUCACUCUGUCACCCAGGCUGGAG
rnacentral:lncRNA from 1 species